AUCUUUUUAUAAAUAGGACCUCAAAAGCAAAGACACAAAAGCAAAAAUAUACAAAUAGGAUUAUAGCAAACUAAAAACCUAUGCACAGCAAAGGAAGCAAUCAACAGAGUAAAGAGGCAACCUACAGAAUGGGAGAAAAUAUUUACAAAGUAUACAUCUGA